UAGCUUAAAAAAGGUUGAAAACCAAAAGAAGAUGGAUCAAAAUUGCCCCACGUCCUACAACAAUGUGACGUAUCUCAAAAAAAAGAUAAAAAUGUAAAAAAAAUAUGGCAUACUCUGUAACUUAAUUUUUUUACACCUUCAUACAAAAAAAAUGCUUUGAAAAUUGUUCAGGCGCUGUUAUGAAAACAUCGAUCAUAAGACUAUUUAUAGACCAUUUUUUUAAAUUAUAUUUUUGUUUGAUAGUGUGUACCUCACAGGUGGUCCCAUAUUCAUCAGGUCAGGAUCUGAUGAUGGAAACCCUAAGAAAUCCAGGGCAACUUUUAAAAGUUGUAGGCAUGCGCAGGAUAAAAACUUUACAAUGAGGUGUAUGUCUGAUAACACUAUGCAACAGUGAAGGUUUGGAGCUGACCUGAUGAUGGAGACGAAAGAGGGUCGAGGGAAAUCAACAACUGAAUAUGUAAACUACCUCGUGUUUGGGCUUAUAUAUUAUUUGUAUUGAAUAGACCUUUACAACAGUGAAAUUUUGGAGCUGACCUGAUGAUGGAGACCAGAGAAGGUCAAGCGAACUCGACAACUGAAUAUGUAAACUACCUCGUGUUUGGUCGUAUAUUAUUCGUAUUGAUGAGAACUUUCCACUAAUACGGAUAGUAACAACUAAGCUUG